AAAUUGAAGAGUUUGAUCAUGGCUCAGAUUGAACGCUGGCGGCAGGCCUAACACAUGCAAGUCGAACGGUAACAGAAAGAAGCUUGCUUCUUUGCUGACGAGUGGCGGACGGGUGAGUAAUGUCUGGGAAACUGCCUGAUGGAGGGGGAUAACUACUGGAAACGGUAGCUAAUACCGCAUAACGUCGCAAGACCAAAGAGGGGGACCUUCGGGCCUCUUGCCAUCGGAUGUGCCCAGAUGGGAUUAGCUUGUUGGUGGGGUAACGGCUCACCAAGGCGACGAUCCCUAGCUGGUCUGAGAGGAUGACCAGCCACACUGGAACUGAGACACGGUCCAGACUCCUACGGGAGGCAGCAGUGGGGAAUAUUGCACAAUGGGCGCAAGCCUGAUGCAGCCAUGCCGCGUGUAUGAAGAAGGCCUUCGGGUUGUAAAGUACUUUCAGCGGGGAGGAAGGGAGUAAAGUUAAUACCUUUGCUCAUUGACGUUACCCGCAGAAGAAGCACCGGCUAACUCCGUGCCAGCAGCCGCGGUAAUACGGAGGGUGCAAGCGUUAAUCGGAAUUACUGGGCGUAAAGCGCACGCAGGCGGUUUGUUAAGUCAGAUGUGAAAUCCCCGGGCUCAACCUCGGGAACUGCAUCUGAUACUGGCAAGCUUGAGUCUCGUAGAGGGGGGUAGAAUUCCGGUGUAGCGGUGAAAUGCGUAGAGAUCUGGAGGAAUACCGGUGGCGAAGGCGGCCCCCUGGACGAAGACUGACGCUCAGGUGCGAAAGCGUGGGGAGCAAACAGGAUUAGAUACCCUGGUAGUCCACGCCGUAAACGAUGUCGACUUGGAGGUUGUGCCCUUGAGGCGUGGCUUCCGGAGCUAACGCGUUAAGUCGACCGCCUGGGGAGUACGGCCGCAAGGUUAAAACUCAAAUGAAUUGACGGGGGCCCGCACAAGCGGUGGAGCAUGUGGUUUAAUUCGAUGCAACGCGAAGAACCUUACCUGGUCUUGACAUCCACGGAAGUUUUCAGAGAUGAGAAUGUGCCUUCGGGAACCGUGAGACAGGUGCUGCAUGGCUGUCGUCAGCUCGUGUUGUGAAAUGUUGGGUUAAGUCCCGCAACGAGCGCAACCCUUAUCCUUUGUUGCCAGCGGUCCGGCCGGGAACUCAAAGGAGACUGCCAGUGAUAAACUGGAGGAAGGUGGGGAUGACGUCAAGUCAUCAUGGCCCUUACGACCAGGGCUACACACGUGCUACAAUGGCGCAUACAAAGAGAAGCGACCUCGCGAGAGCAAGCGGACCUCAUAAAGUGCGUCGUAGUCCGGAUUGGAGUCUGCAACUCGACUCCAUGAAGUCGGAAUCGCUAGUAAUCGUGGAUCAGAAUGCCACGGUGAAUACGUUCCCGGGCCUUGUACACACCGCCCGUCACACCAUGGGAGUGGGUUGCAAAAGAAGUAGGUAGCUUAACCUUCGGGAGGGCGCUUACCACUUUGUGAUUCAUGACUGGGGUGAAGUCGUAACAAGGUAACCGUAGGGGAACCUGCGGUUGGAUCACCUCCUUA
rnacentral:rRNA from 1 species